rnacentral:misc_RNA from 1 species
CCGCAUCCGCAUACGCCUACACGCGCCCUUUUGAGCUGUGCAGCCGCACUUGGUGAUUUGAUACCGCCUACGUCCCCCCCCUCAUACACACACAAGGUACGCACAGGGAGAGGGAGAGCAAGAGAGCCGACGCAGGUGAAGAAGGACAGCCGUGCACGCAUCGGGGUGCCGACAACAGAGGAAAGGACACCGACGCCUUUGCCCGUUUCUUUUUUUUUUCGCUUCCUUCCCUCCUCUCUCCCUCCUCUCCGUUGUCGAGCUGGCAGUCGUGGUUGGGGCUUCUGUGGUAGGGGGGGGGGCGGAACUGUGUCGACACGCACCGCUUGGGCUUUCUCCGACCUGUGGCGGUGCGCACUGCCCUUUUCUCUCCAUCUACACGCCAUCCUUGAUGCACGCAACAUCACAAAGGACCCUGCGUUACACCGCAAUAUGUCGUCAAGCCCAUCGUCGCCGGUGCACAGCUCACCCGCGUCUACCGGCUUCGCUGCUCCUUACCUGCCUUCCUUCACGCGCCGCUACUUUCGCCUUUCUCAGUCUGCCUUUGUCAUCUCCGACUACCUUGUGCGCAAGUUCCGCCUCACUGAGAGCGUCCUGCUAACGUCGCUGUGCUACUGGCACGAGUUUGUCGCCGCGCACGGGCUGCGCAAAGCCAACGAGAUCGUGCUGGCCACCACGUGCGUCUUCCUCGCUGCGAAGGUGGAGCAUGCGCACAUACGGCUGGCGCGCCUAGUGGAGGCUGCGUUUGACCUCGAUGUGAACACGACUGCUCCAGCAGAGCUGGAGCAGUGGUGCCGUGCCGUGCUGGACGUGGAGCUGGUGUUGUGCGAUACCAUCGGCUUUGACUUUGUGCGCAUCUUCCCCCUUGCUGACACUCUGCGAUCGGUGCAGACCCUGGCUGAGGCGGGGCAGCUGCAGGACGCCGCACGGCAGGAGAUUGGCACGGCAGUGCGACGCGUCUUUCUUUUCUCCUUUGUCACACCGCUCUGCAUCAAGGUGUCGAUGCAGCGACUCUGCACGUCAAUCCUCUAUAUGAUCGUGACGGCAGCGCGCAGGGAGCUGGUGACGGCUUUUCAGUCCAUCUGGAGUGCCCCAGAGGCCGAGUUUCCCGAUGAGGCGGAGCUGGAGGGGAUUACGGCCGUGCUCAUGGACGUCUUCGCGUACCUGCACAAGAAGUUCGGCGUGCCGGCACUGGACGACGUCAACGAGGCGCGAUACAAGCGCUGCCGAUCGCAGCAUGGUAACGAUGCUGGUGUCGCGAGCUCCGUCUUUAGCAGCGCCAGCGCCGACUUUACACCACUCAUGAAGAUGUCGGAGCAGUGAGUGGCCUGCCCGAGGUAACUUUUCGACUGCAAGAGAGAACAGCAAAGAAAGCGGCUUUCGCAGUCUGAUGGACUGGAACUUGACUUCUUGUGAGGUGCGCCGAACUCUCUGUCCGCUGCUCGUGGCCACUCACGGUGGAAAGGCCGAAGGGAGAGCAGCAUUGGGGGGGGUUUCAUGGUGUAUAUGUGUGCGGACUCGUAUUUGCCCCCUGCUUUCUCCCUUUUCUGUCUCUUGGUCUAGUACACCGGUGCGAUGACGGCGUCAGAGUCGGUCUCUUGUUUCCUCUUCACAAUUGUGCCCAUUAGCACAUACUGUGCACCUGCGCUUGCGAGUGACUGCUACUAUGCUUCUCCAGAAAGGAAAAAAGGGGGCGAACAUGAACAAGGACGGUGCCACGCAAGACGUCGCUAAGCCUUGGCAGCGGGGGGGGGGCUCGGGUAGCGCUGCUGCCGAGAG